CCUGGCUCACGAUGAACGCUAGCGACAGGCUUAACACAUGCAAGUCGAGGGGCAGCACAGGUAGCAAUACCGGGUGGCGACCGGCGCACGGGUGAGUAACGCGUAUGCAACUUACCUAUCAGAGGGGGAUAACCCGGCGAAAGUCGGACUAAUACCGCAUGAAGCAGGGGCCCCGCAUGGGGAUAUUUGCUAAAGAUUCAUCGCUGAUAGAUAGGCAUGCGUUCCAUUAGGCAGUUGGCGGGGUAACGGCCCACCAAACCGACGAUGGAUAGGGGUUCUGAGAGGAAGGUCCCCCACAUUGGUACUGAGACACGGACCAAACUCCUACGGGAGGCAGCAGUGAGGAAUAUUGGUCAAUGGGCGUAAGCCUGAACCAGCCAAGUCGCGUGAGGGAUGAAGGUUCUAUGGAUCGUAAACCUCUUUUAUAAGGGAAUAAAGUGCGGGACGUGUCCCGUUUUGUAUGUACCUUAUGAAUAAGGAUCGGCUAACUCCGUGCCAGCAGCCGCGGUAAUACGGAGGAUCCGAGCGUUAUCCGGAUUUAUUGGGUUUAAAGGGUGCGUAGGCGGCCUUUUAAGUCAGCGGUGAAAGUCUGUGGCUCAACCAUAGAAUUGCCGUUGAAACUGGGGGGCUUGAGUAUGUUUGAGGCAGGCGGAAUGCGUGGUGUAGCGGUGAAAUGCUUAGAUAUCACGCAGAACCCCGAUUGCGAAGGCAGCCUGCCAAGCCAUGACUGACGCUGAUGCACGAAAGCGUGGGGAUCAAACAGGAUUAGAUACCCUGGUAGUCCACGCAGUAAACGAUGAUCACUAGCUGUUUGCGAUACAGUGUAAGCGGCACAGCGAAAGCGUUAAGUGAUCCACCUGGGGAGUACGCCGGCAACGGUGAAACUCAAAGGAAUUGACGGGGGCCCGCACAAGCGGAGGAACAUGUGGUUUAAUUCGAUGAUACGCGAGGAACCUUACCCGGGUUUGAACGCAUUUCGACCGCUCUGGAAACAGAGCCUCUAGCAAUAGCGAUUUGCGAGGUGCUGCAUGGUUGUCGUCAGCUCGUGCCGUGAGGUGUCGGCUUAAGUGCCAUAACGAGCGCAACCCUUGCCACUAGUUACUAACAGGUAAAGCUGAGGACUCUGGUGGGACUGCCAGCGUAAGCUGCGAGGAAGGCGGGGAUGACGUCAAAUCAGCACGGCCCUUACAUCCGGGGCGACACACGUGUUACAAUGGCGUGGACAAAGGGAUGCCACCUGGCGACAGGGAGCGAAUCCCCAAACCACGUCUCAGUUCGGAUCGGAGUCUGCAACCCGACUCCGUGAAGCUGGAUUCGCUAGUAAUCGCGCAUCAGCCAUGGCGCGGUGAAUACGUUCCCGGGCCUUGUACACACCGCC
rnacentral:rRNA from 1 species